CUUACGAAGAGUUUGAUCCUGGCUCAGGAUAAACGCUGGCGGCGUGCCUAACACAUGUAAGUCGUACGAAGAGGUUCCCUUCGGGGAAUACUUCAGUGGCGAACGGGUGAGUAACACGUAGGUGACCUGCCCCGAAGCAGGGGAUAACGGUCCGAAAGGACCGCUAAUACCCAAAAGGAUCGUGCGUCAAACCGCGCUCAGAGUACCCCCUCGGGGGUGCGCUUCGGGAGGGGCCUGCGGCCCAUCAGCUAGUUGGUAGGGUAACGGCCUACCAAGGCGAUGACGGGUAGGGGGCCUGAGAGGGUGACCCCCCACACUGGC
rnacentral:rRNA from 1 species